UACGUUCCCGGCCUUGUACACACCGCCCGUCACGUCACGAAAGUCGGUAACGCCCGAAGCCGGUGGCCCAACCCUUGUGGAGGGAGCCGUCGAAGGCGGGAUCGGCGAUUGGGACG
rnacentral:rRNA from 1 species